CCUACGGGAGGCAGCAGUGGGGAAUAUUGCACAAUGGGGGGAACCCUGAUGCAGCGACGCCGCGUGAGUGAAGAAGUCAUUCGUGAUGUAAAGCUCUAUCAGCAGGGAAGAAAAUGACGGUACCUGAGUAAGAAGCCCCGGCUAACUACGUGCCAGCAGCCGCGGUAAUACGUAGGGGGCAAGCGUUAUCCGGAUUUACUGGGUGUAAAGGGAGCGUAGACGGCCAGACAAGUCUGAAGUGAAAAUCCAGCGCUUAACGUUGGAAGUGCUUUGGAAACUGCCGGGCUGGGGUGCAGAGGGGUAGG
rnacentral:rRNA from 1 species